rnacentral:lncRNA from 1 species
ACAGGAUAGAAUCAGCCACGCAGAUGCAGUACAGCAGGGUGGACUCGGAAGCUCUCCUCUCUUACCCCUGAACUGCGUGUUGAGCAGUCCCUGCUGUCCUGUUCUGGGGGACUAUGGCUAGCUCAGCACACUGUGUGCCCAGUCCCUUGUUGCUCCUGUCACAGCACAGAAGACCCAAUCACUACCUCAGAGAUGUCGCAGAGAAGAGGAUGCAGUAGUCACCUAGCCUCUUUGGAUACUUGGUGGCUUCCUUCUGCCUAGCAAUAAACAGCAGCCUGGGGAGACGGCUCAGGCAGUAAAGUGAACAUGAGGACCUGAGUUCAGAUCCCUGCACCCAUGGAAAAAAGCAGGGCAUGACCGCAUGCACCUGCAGUCGGCUCUGGGAAACAGUGGAUCCUGAACUCACCCGCCAGCCUGGCCUGGUGGGAGGCCCAGGAGUAGUAAGAGAACCAGCUCUGGUCUGAGCCUGAGAAAGAGACCUGACUUCAACCUCUGGCUUCCACGUGCACAAGUGUGGACAUGCACACCCACCACGUGCACACAACUCCCCCUCCCCCUCCAUGAACAGGCUCACAUGCGUACGCCACACAAAAUAAUCAUUACAAAACUCAAGGGGCGGUUUCCUCUUGGAGGGUGGUAGGGCUAUAGGGGAGAAACCGGAGAAAGGACUGAAACAUAUGCUGUUGGUGACUCAGUUUUAAAAAGAUUCACU